UAUGAUCAAAAAUGCAAAAGAUAAGGGCGUGAUUACUCCGGAAGGACAACCCUCCUUGACGUUACAAGUUGUAAUACCGACAUUGGUCUUGCAUUUACAGAAAUCCGCUUAAUUACCUACCAAAUUGAUUAAUCCAUAAAUCAACAACAACUAUCCAAGUAAUGAACAAUUUUUAGAAUUAGUCUUUAGCUUUAGCCAACAACUUUAGCAGGAGACUGGUGUUAAUGGAUCUAACAAUCAAAUUUGCUGAACACACAAGAAUCAGAUGGAGAUUGGACAAGUGAGUUAGGAAAACUUCAAACUCGACUAAAAUGGAAUUCGAGCCAGAAAACCAACCAGACAUAUGACAUAUAAGGCUCGACAUAUUCGAAUACUAACCCAAUGAUCCAAAAAUCACAUCAGAUCACAAUCCCAAUAUCUCUAAAUAAAACAAAUUUAUAACCACAAACAUUAGGAAUGAAAGAAAAAUAGAUCAGCCAUGACAAUAGAGCAAAACACAACAUGGUGAUUAUUCAAUUUAAUAAAUGUUAAACAUACGCUAAUCAAUUUAACAAGAUUCAACUCCAAAUUCUUAAUUGGCAUAGAAAUGGAACUCCACUGUUCUUAGCAGGAAGGCUGGCCAAACAAAUGAAAAUGAGGUUGGCCAAACGAGUGAAAAGGCACAAAAAGAAAACAAAUCUGGUACCCACGACUAUGCAAACCAAAUGAGGCAGAAUUUAUAAAGCUAGAUACUACUGAUUUUCCUACAAGUGAUUUGAAGUGGAGUUUCAACAAACAGCAACCCAAUGGACUUAUAACUAAAAACAAAAGACUCGGUCAUAAUGGAAAUAGAGCCACAUUAAGAAAGAACAACUGAGUAACUCGGAUACCACAAAAGAGAACAUUAACAAGGCUCAUCUCAACAACUUCAAACUAGAAGAAAAUAGCAAACACAUAGACUUGGUGUUGGAUGGCUAAUGUUUACAUUCAUUCUUAGUUUUUAACACAAGAAAAACAACCAGCAAUUGUCUUGUAAAUUCACAACCUGGAUUCGAAAAGCAGAGAAUAGAAUUACACUAACAUGAACCUGCUAACUGGCAGAUUCAAUCCAAUAAGAGCCUAAAUGACAGCAGCAAUGAGAUACAGACUUAUAAGUUCUAGAUUUACUAUAACUAGGGAGUGUUUUCAACUCAAAAAUAGCAUAAAUGUAAGUGAAUAAAGGCCAGACAAGUUUAAAACUCGAAAAAAGUACCAUACAUUAAGUUUCGAGAUUCAAAUUACACCAUGAUGGAAUACGCACACAAACAAACAUAGAACCAAGAGCGAUAAAGAAAGGAUAAGAAAUCAAUUUUAGUCGCAAAGGAAAGCUUACAUUAAUUCUGCCCCGAACCAAUGCAAGUGAAAUUGAUAAUGCAAACUCAAAAGAACAGCAACGACAAUGCGUUAGAAUGCACGAACUACAAAAUUGAACACGAACAGUCAACUCGAUCUCAGCUCAUACCAUCCUUAGUUUUUAAAGAAAUCAGAAAAGACAAUGAAAACUUUUUUUUUUCAGAUUUUCUUUUGGAAAUAGGACUCAGAACCAAAACCAAAAAAUUGAAAUUUUUGAACCAUUUUUCUAAAAUCGGAACUGAAAACCCAAGAAGAUUCCAUGAAAAACUAAAUGAUUUCUCUAACCUUUUUUUCCAAAUCUCAGACUCUGAAACUUUCCUCUCCUCUCGAAAUAAGAACUGACCCUAUUUGAAAAUUAAUCCCUUGAUGAAUUUGGGGCACGGGUUUAAUGAAAUCAAUCAAACACCUCACACUCAUCCAGCGAAUCCGCCUCAAGAACCUUCGAUUUGUUAGAUAUAUCCAAAUCGAGCAAGUGAGAAGGGAGGGUAAUCUCAUGUAUGAAACCACUAACAAUGGUAAGAUGAGAUAAGGAGAGACGCGUGGGUUAAGGAUUUGGGAUUCACUCGCCCGAAUUCUUACUAAAUUAGGGCUUCGUUCGAGUUCUUCUUUUUGGAGAAGAAGAACAGUACGCGCCUGGGUUGUGUCGAUUAGGGCUUCCGUUCGUUUGUGUUAUGAUUGGUUGAAUGGG
rnacentral:lncRNA from 1 species